GACUCUUCCGGUGGGGACGUCUUCAGCAGCACCGGGAUCGAGGAUUUGCCAUUAAUCGGGGCAGAGGACAAGAGUCAGGCUGUAAAGGUCUGCAUUCAAUACAAACGUGAUGGGAUGAGGCCCGACGGAACAGUCGACCCACAACCCCUGAUAAAAAGUCUCACUACCGCCCUUAACGACACCCGUCCUGAUAUCGUCCAGCGCCUACUCAACAGCACACAGUCUUGCUCAACUGAAAACCUUGCCGCCUGGAAGACCUGCCUCCUCUCGAGAUGCAUCUUAGGCAACGCUACCUUAGUCGUCCCGCCUGCUGCUAGCUCGCCUGAAGAAUAACAUGACACACGUCUUUGUUAAUUUGCUUUUAAUGUG